UCCUCCUUCUUCUGUGAUGGCCCUGGGGGACCCCAGGUCCUAAGGAACACAGCUUGAAAUCACUGGGUCAGGUGCAAUCCACAUUCCCUUCCAUCUCCAGCCUAAGGGACUCUGUAAUUCAUGCUGGGAGCUAGUGAAGAAUGUCAGGGUAAACUGGGAACCAAAGUGAUUCUUGUAGCCAAGGCAGGUGACCGGACUACAUGGGAAGUUGGCCAAGUGUAGAGUUGGGGUAUUCACAAAGUUAAGCAGGCACAACCUGCAGCUGUCCACAGAGAAUUCAUCCCUCGGGUAAGUUUGUGUGCCACUGGGCCUCAGUUUCCUCAUCUUUAAAAUGAAGUUAUUAAAUCUUGCUUACAGAAGAACCCCAGACAGUGUAUGGACAUACUCCCUCCUCCCAGAGGCAGAGCAUCAUUCCCUUCCACUUGAAUGGGGGCUAAACUUCCUGACUCACUUCUAACAGGAAAGGGAAAACGAACUUUCCAGUGCAGAAAUGAGGCCAGCACCACCUUACCCAUGCGCUCAAGGUUAAUGUCACCAGUGAGGGCCGAAACUCUGAGCACCCGUUGAAGAAGAAAGCAGAGCCCCUCUUCCUGCGCCCUCAUGCCAGCCUUGCAUUCAGCCAGCUUCACAGGGAGCUGUGGUGAGUCCACCAGCCUCAGCUCAGUCUUACCGCUCUGCCCCAGUUCCUUCUGUAAAGUGCAGAUCAGCCACUCUCAGUUCCCUACACAGUUGUGUAGGGACACACAGCAAAACUGUACCCUAAGGAAUCUUUAAAAUGCUAGCAAAUAGACAUUAUCAUCACCAGCCACCACCCAUCACAACCAUAAUGAACUUCUUGAAGCCUCAGUAAAGGGCCCUUUAGCCACUAGGAGCCUGGGGAGAAGAUGAUAGUAAUGUGGCCAGGGACAAGGGGAGGGGAGAAAGUUUUAAGCGGUCAUUGAUAUAUCAAACAUUCAACAGAUUAUUCUAUGUGGCUUACAUGCAUUCAAUAAAUGUGAUAAAUCAAUCUGCCAAC